UCAUGAGAUUAGUCGGACUCUGUCCAUAAUCUGCAGGAGUCUCCAGCUUGGCCCUGGAGAUGCACAGAAGCUGAGCUGAAGAUCACUGGCAGAGAUUCGCCCUGUAGCCCAGGCUGGCAGAGCCGCUACCCGAGUGCCCCGGCUGCUGGAAUCACAGGGAUGAGCCAACAGGACAACUCGCCUUCCACUACUCUCCUUUCUUCUACAUAUCCUACGGACACCAGGUCCCUUGAAGCCAAGCAACAGAUGACUCAUUGUUUGUUGCUUGGUUCUGGGAUUUUGUUUGUUUGGGGAGGUCUUUCUAGGAAGCCCUCACUGGUUUAGAACUCACCACACAAACCAGGCUGUCCCUCAACUUACGGUGAUACUUGCCUCUGCCUCCUGAGCCUCGAGAUGACAAGCAUCAUGGCUGGCAAAAUGACUGUUUUCAAAUGUAUCCAGGGUUUGUUUUGAUUAGCUAAGGUGAUGCAGACAACUCUGUCCCUCCGAGGGAAGAAAGCUUUUAUUUUUAGUUGUGUGGCUGUGUGCAUGGGAGUGUGGGCGCCUGAGGAGGCCGGAAGAAGAGAGCCUCUGGAUCUGGAGUCAGAGUGGCUGUGUGUCACCCAGUGAGGAUGCUAAAAACCAAACUGGGUUCUCUGCAAAAGCAGGGUAUACGCUCAGCCACAGAGCCAUCUCUCUAGACCCACAGCUGUGCCUAAAACAAGACUCUGUUAUUCACAGCUGCCAAGAAAAGAGGCAAUGAGGGACCACGUGUGCCCACAGGACGCAGAUAGAACAAGGGAAGGCAUAGCCUUUACUGUGAUCUCCAUGAGCAAAGUAGAGCUCGCACAACUCAGAGUGACGGAACAGUGCCAACAGGCCCUCACCAGCAGGACCCUGAGAUGUCCAGAGCCUAGCCCUGGACGUUAGGGAGGGAGCAUACUGGCUUAAUGAGUGGGACCUAAGAUAAAGGAAGUGACUGAGGACCUGACCUCGGAGUUACUCUCUUCUAUGAAAGGUGACCCCCAGGCCAGCUGCUCCAUCUCUCUAGGUCAGCCGUUCUCACCCUGUGGGUUGCAAGCCCUUUGGCUUGGAUUGACCCUUUUUACAGGGGUCACCUGAGACCAUAGGAAAACACAGAUAUUCACGUUAUGACUCAUUAUUACAGUCAUGAAAUAAUUUUAUGCUUGGGGGUCACCACACCACGAGGAAGUGUAUUACAGGGUCGAAGCAUUUAGGAAAGUUGAGAACCUCUGCUCUAGGUGUUAAUUAGCCACGUGGGCCAUCUGGAAGGUCGCGGAUGUCAAAGCACAGCAAACAAAACACGUGGCUAAUAGAGACACAUGUGCGAGGUCAUUCUUCACAGAAACUGACGGUGGGCGCUGUCCCCUGUGCAAACCCUAGGCGCGGCUGAGACGGGCCUUGCGCAUGCCUGUGACGGAUUCUCUUAAUUGGUUUAGUUGAGCGAGGGCUCCGUUUCCUGCGCUGGGUCCAGGCCUGACUGGACGGGAGAGGGCAAGCCAGCGCAAGCACGCAGGCGGUCGCUGCUGUCUGCUCCUGAGCGCGCAUGACGAGGUCUUUCGGGCCUCUGCUGCCUGGACUUGUGAGCCAAAGAAACCAUUUCUCUGGAAGUUGUUCUUGUUCGAGUAACUUUAUCACAGCGACAGCAAAAGAAACUUGAGACAGAAACCAAGGACAUUUAUGGAGCUGGUUAAGUAAAUUAUGGCAUAGCAAAGCCAUCAAGUGUUGUGUAACCAUGAAAAACAAUGUAUUUUUAAGUACCUUAAUUUACAGCUUUUUUAAUUCUGAAAAAAAAAAUCAUAAAAUUACCACAUUGGAAAACAGUAUUUGGGAUGACCAACAUCUGUGUAGCCAAGGCAUUGUCAUUCAUAUUUUGCUUCAGAAUAAACUGUCUUUAUUUUCCUUGUGA